GUGGGGAAUAUUGGACAAUGGGCGCAAGCCUGAUCCAGCCAUGCCGCGUGAGUGAUGAAGGCCCUAGGGUUGUAAAGCUCUUUCACCGAUGAAGAUAAUGACGGUAGUCGGAGAAGAAGCCCCGGCUAACUUCGUGCCAGCAGCCGCGGUAAUACGAAGGGGGCUAGCGUUGUUCGGAUUUACUGGGCGUAAAGCGCACGUAGGCGGAUCGUUAAGUCGAGGGUGAAAUCCUGGAGCUCAACUCCAGAACUGCCUUCGAUACUGGCGAUCUUGAGUCCGGAAGAGGUGAGUGGAACUCCUAGUGUAGAGGUGGAAUUCGUAGAUAUUAGGAAGAACACCAGUGGCGAAGGCGGCUCACUGGUCCGGUACUGACGCUGAGGUGCGAAAGCGUGGGGAGCAAACAGGAUUAGAAACCCCUGUAGUCC
rnacentral:rRNA from 1 species